AUUUGUAUGUUGCUAUAUCGCAACAUUAUUAUUAUUAACCACUAUCUGCUUCUUACACCCCUAUUCUCGUCCGACGACAUGGCAGGAUUCCAUUUACCAGGAGACCCAUAUUAUUAUUAACCGCUCCCUUUCUCUAUGUGAACAACGACCGACUAGCAAGAACCACCGGCAUCGCCGCUGCUGCCACUUCGGUUCUCUUGCGCAGCUGCCGCCGUCGAAGGUGUCGCACCUAAAGGCGUCGCCGCUGCAGGUGCUCGACCUCACCCUUGGAGCGGAUUUGAGCUUACUUCUCCAUCUUUUGGUAAAAAAAACCCUAAUUUAGUUUUUGGAAAAAUUCCAAAACGCAAACCACUUCCGACGCUUAUUCUUUAUUGAAAAGCCUCUCUACAAUUGGCGAUCGUCCUUUUUUCUUCUCUUCUCGUCAUACCAGUUACAUUUAAUAGGAGAUUAUUUUUGUAGUGAGGUUCAUUGUGCCAUAAGUAACUUCUAUCUUAAGGAGCAACAUGAUGAAAGGGUUUGCACUCUAAGUACCCUUUCCUGGACAUGUAACUGAACUUUUCACUACUGGUAACCGGAAAAGCUGGCACUGUGAAUCGCUCCUGAUCUCGCAUCCUUCUCAUCCUCAUCAUCAAAUAUAGCCCUAGAAAGCUUUUAUUUCCAUUCCCAUGAAACAAACCUGGAUCCUUUUCAGGGGUAUAACAGACCAUACGUAUCAUGAAGUGAGUAAAUUGUAGAUUAGUUGGUCACUUGGUUCUAACUAAGUGCACUGUCAUACAUAAAGUUAACAGCUGGCUUGUUUUUGUUAUUGCAGGUUGCAGACUUUCAAAUAGUCUUGUUUCUUUUAUUCAUGUACAUCUCAUAUGCAUUCAGUUAUAAAUUUUGGUUCUUUUUAUUAAUAAUUUGCCUUUUUAAUUGUUAAAAGAUUGACCAGUCAUGGCAGAGACUGGCUGGAGGAAGCCCUGACUGCACAACUACAACCACAAGACCAUGAACUGAGUUCUUCUUCUCCAUACUUGGGCCUUCCUCUUAUGAGAGUUGUUAAUAUCUCUAGGUGUAGCCUUAGGUUCAUGUUGAUCUCCAUUUAUUGACGAUAAGAAUCUGAACGAUCUCCCAGAAGACCUAGAGGCGCCAUCAAUAAUGUUGUUUUCCCAGGUGUGCAGCAGAUCAGUUCCACAAAUUUCAGUCUGUACCCUUUUUUAUUUUUCCAACUUUUUGAAUGUCAAAUAUGGAUUUGACUUUUUUAGCAUUAUGUAUUUAAUGUCGAAUAUGGAUAUGCAAUUUAAUUUAUGGAUUUAAUGUAUGUCAAAUAUUGUAAGUUUUUUGCUUUUAUGAUUUUUGGUUUUAAAAUA